rnacentral:rRNA from 1 species
CCAGACUCCUACGGGAGGCAGCAGUGGGGGAUAUUGCACAAUGGGGGAAACCCUGAUGCAGCGACGCCGCGUGAGUGAAGAAGUAUUUCGGUAUGUAAAGCCCUGUCAGCAGGGAAGAAAAUGACGGUACCUGAAGAAGAAGCCCCGGCUAACUACGUGCCAGCAGCCGCGGUAAUACGUAGGGGGCAAGCGUUAUCCGGAUUUACUGGGUGUAAAGGGGGCGCAGACGGCGAUGCAAGCCAGGAGUGAAAGCCCGGGGCUCAACCCUGGGACUGCUCUGGAAACUGUAAAGCUGGAGUGCGGGAGGGGCAGGCGGAAUUCCUGGUGUAGCGGUGAAAUGCGUAGAUAUCAGGAGGAACACCGGCGGCGAAGGCGGCCUGCUGGACCGUAACUGACGUUGAGGCGCGAAAGCGUGGGGAGCAAACAGGAUUAGAUACCCGCGUAAU